rnacentral:rRNA from 1 species
GAUGAACGCUGGCGGCGUGCCUAACACAUGCAAGUCGAGCGCUUCUGAUUUGAUGCUUGCAUUGAUGAAAGAUGAGCGGCGGACGGGUGAGUAACGCGUGGGUAACCUGCCCUAUACACAUGGAUAACAUACUGAAAAGUUUACUAAUACAUGAUAAUAUAUAUUUACGGCAUCGUAGAUAUAUCAAAGUGUUAGCGGUAUAGGAUGGACCCGCGUCUGAUUAGCUAGUUGGUGAGAUAACUGCCCACCAAGGCGACGAUCAGUAGCCGACCUGAGAGGGUGAUCGGCCACAUUGGAACUGAGACACGGUCCAAACUCCUACGGGAGGCAGCAGUGGGGAAUAUUGCACAAUGGGCGCAAGCCUGAUGCAGCAACGCCGCGUGAACGAUGAAGGUCUUCGGAUCGUAAAGUUCUGUUGCAGGGGAAGAUAAUGACGGUACCCUGUGAGGAAGCCCCGGCUAACUACGUGCCAGCAGCCGCGGUAAUACGUAGGGGGCUAGCGUUAUCCGGAUUUACUGGGCGUAAAGGGUGCGUAGGUGGUCUUUCAAGUCGGUGGUUAAAGGCUACGGCUCAACCGUAGUUAGCCUCCGAAACUGGAAGACUUGAGUGCAGGAGAGGAAAGUGGAAUUCCCAGUGUAGCGGUGAAAUGCGUAGAUAUUGGGAGGAACACCAGUAGCGAAGGCGGCUUUCUGGACUGCAACUGACACUGAGGCACGAAAGCGUGGGUAGCAAACAGG